AAAAUUAAUUGCCAAGAAAAUUUUUGCAAUUCAGGGAGAAAAAAGGUGGAAAAUGAAAAAUCCCCCCAUUCAAACAAGCCCUAAAAGAUUCAAAAAAGAGCACUAGUGGGACAGAGAGCCAACAGAACGCAAAGCACAUAACUCUAUAUAGUACUUCAAGAAAGGGAAAAGGGAAUGAACAUACGCAACACUGCACAAAGACAGCCCAAAGUGCAGCCUUUCACUGAGAGAGAGAGAGAGAGAGAGAGCAACUGAACACUGAAUGCAUAUUCUAUUAUAUAUAUUUGUAUAGAAAAACUGGGUUUUCUUGAUUGUUGGAAACUGAUUAUUUUGCUUAUUUUUAAGCAAAAGCUUGAUUCUUGUUUUGCUAUUUUCUGUACCCCAUUAGACUCGUUUUCAGGUUCUUGAAAAUGGUUUCCAGCCAAUGUGAUCAAAAGGGUUAUUAGAUUCUCUACCCUAUUUUCUGUAUUCUAGAUUCUACUGGUAUGUUUGUCUUUCUCUUUAUGUACAUAUAUAUACUUUAUUUUUUAGUUUGAAAUUUGAAUAGGGUUCUUGUUUCUUGUAAUUUCAGCUGGUUUGUGAGUUAAAAAUGGAGUUGAGAACAAUGAUUUUGGGGCAUUUUUUGGUGAUUUCUUUGGCCUUGAAUGUGGGAUUCUUAUACAGAGAUUACUGGAAGGGAAAUCAUCAUUAUCAAGAAUUUUUCAGCUUCAAGAACGAGUAUAAAAAUGCUUUCGUGACUCUUCUUGAAGCAUCACCACAGCCAUUUUCUUCUUCUUCAAAAGGUUUUGAUGGUAUUAUCGAUCUUGAUCAGUAAGUCUAUUAUAUUAUUUAUUUCCGACUUAUCUCUUCUUCUUUCUUUUGUUUUUUAUUUUCUUGAUGUGGGGCUAUCAUUCAGAUUUUCAUCCAAAUUUUCUUUGUAUUGAAUCACCUGUUAGUCUAAUUUUCAUUGUAUCGAAUCACUUAGUCUAAUGAUUUGGGGCGCUUGGUACUUGCUAGUGUGGUUUUAUGUAUUUUAAUUAAUUUAUUAAUUCGGUAGAAUAGAAUUAUCUUGCUUGCUUAGCCACAACUGGUACGAUUCACGUGCGCAUAGGGGUUCACUUUUUGUCAGUUCAGAUACAGGAACAUGUUCUGCUGGCUAGUGAUUUACCGUGGCGCAUGUUAGAGUAUAAAGUAAAAGCAAAAAAAGUGCUUAUUGAAGUCGUUCGAGUUUGAUGAUUCCAAAGUAGUGUUCUGCAAGCAUGCAUGAUGGCACCAUGGAUGGUCUUCCUUGAUUCUCCCAUUGACCAGCAUGGUCAUUCUUGUGUUAUGCGCUUGUUUGGGUUUUGUAAAUGUUACUUUUAUUAAUCAAUUAGGAAAAUAGUUACUCCAUUUCGAGAAUAAUGUUGUCCCACUCGACUAAUAGAACGCCAAAACUUACUUUCAAGUUUUGACUUCAAGUGUGUGCUCCAUUACAUUAGUGGAGUGUGAGAAAUUUUGUUUAAGAAGCUUAUUUUCUAGUUAAUUACCAUUAGUCAAUUUGAAAUCCUAUACCACCGCAUUAACUAAAAGUCACUUUUUAGCAUUAAAGGAAAGUUUUAUUUAAGAAUUAGCUUGCCAUCCUCUAUGAUUGGGUCAGAGUAGUGGACAAUGAGAAGUUGAUUAAAGAGUGCGAACCACCAUGUUAUCUUAAAGUCACUUUUAUUCUACUAAUAAUGAGAUGCAUCUUUGUGGGUCAUUUCUUGUUUUGUGCAUUUGCUACAUUUGGACCUCCUUUGUCCUUUGAGAUCCCUUAAAGAUUGCAAACUAUACACUUCAAUAAUUAGGACCUUAUUUUAU
rnacentral:lncRNA from 1 species